CCCUUAGAUGUUCUGGGCGGCCCGCGCACUACAAUGGCGCUUUCAGCGAGUUCCUAUGUUGAAUUUUCCUUGGUAUUCUUGGAAGCGGCGUCUUGACUUGGGAUAGAUCCUUGUAAUUGUUGGUUUUGAACGAGGAAUUCCUUGUAAUCGCGGUUGAUCAGCUCGCGUUGAAUACGUCCCUGCCCUUUGUACACACCGCCCGUCGCUCCUACCGAUGAAUCGUCCGGUGAAGUUCACAGAGUGGCGGUUCGUGGAGUUGCUCGCGAAGUGAAAUGGACCUCACGAUUUAGAGGAAGGAGAGGUCGUAACA
rnacentral:rRNA from 1 species